CCCUUAGAUGUUCUGGGCUGCACGCGCGCUACACUGAAGCGUUCAACGAGUAUUCACCUUGCCCGGGAGGGUUGGGUAAUCUUUUGAAAACGCUUCGUGAUGGGGAUAGAUUAUUGCAAUUAUUAAUCUUCAACGAGGAAUUCCUAGUAAGCGCGAGUCGUCAGCUCGUGCUGAUUACGUCCCUGCCCUUUGUACACACCGCCCGUCGCUCCUACCGAAUGAGUGAUCCGGUGAAUAAUUCGGACUGCAGCACUGCUUGGUCUCCAGGCUUUGCAGCGGAAAGUUUAGUGAACCUUAUCACUUAGAGGAAGGAGAAGUCGUAACA
rnacentral:rRNA from 1 species